rnacentral:rRNA from 1 species
AUUGAACGCUGGCGGCAGGCCUAACACAUGCAAGUCGAACGAGUGGCGGACGGGUGAGUAAUGUCUGGGAAACUGCCCGAUGGAGGGGGAUAACUACUGGAAACGGUAGCUAAUACCGCAUACCAUCGGAUGUGCCCAGAUGGGAUUUGCUAGUAGGUGGGGUAACGGCUCACCUAGGCGACGAUCCCUAGCUGGUCUGAGAGGAUGACAAGCCACACGGGGACUGAGACACGGUCCAGACUCCUACGGGAGGCAGCAGUGGGGAAUAUUGCACAAUGGGCGCAAGCCUGAUGCAGCCAUGCCGCGUGUAUGAAGAAGGCCUUCGGGUUUUAAAGUGCUUUCAGCGAGGAGGCGUUACUCGCAGAAGAAGCACCGGCUAACUCCGUGCCAGCAGCCGCGGUAAUAC